UGAAUCUUAUUUACAGAAUUCUCCCAAUAAUAUGAGCUUGAGUAACCAGCCGGGCACUCCAAGGGAUGAUGGCGAAAUGGGGGGCAAUUUCCUAAAUCCCUUUCAGAGUGAAAGUUACUCGCCUAGCAUGACCAUGAGUGUGUGAUCCAUUACCGCGUCCCCUCAUGAAAACCAUCGUGAGUCAGCCCAUCACAAAACUACUACGGAAGAAAACUACUCAUCGUGUACAGUUAGACAACGGAAUCUCAGACAACCAGACCACCUUUUAGUUCCUGCUCUCUCCCCUAUUUUGAGAAGAAAGCGGGUCCACACGUGAUUCAAGCAACUGUACGGAGCUGCCCAUUAGCUGCCCCAACUGAACUGCGGUGAUUAUCUGUGUGUGUGUGGGGAAGAGAAUGCAUCGUAUGUGCAGAUCUGUAUGCACAUAUAUGCAUACGUGCAUUGACCCACAGGACAUUGUAAGAUAUUAUCACAUGACAUCUUAAGUAGAAGUAAGUAGGGACUUUUAUUCCAUCCUUUUUUUUUCACGUUUACAUUUUAAUUAUUAAAGGUUGCUCCUGCCCUUCCUGAACUAUUUUGUGCUGUGUACAUCACUGCUUUAUAUAAGUUAUUUUUUAAGGUGAACUCAGAUGUUAUGGUUUUGUAAAUGUCUGCAAUCAUGGAUAGGAAUAAAAUUGCUUAUUUGAGAGCUUUCAUUCACUGUGUCUGAAGCAAGUUGCCUGUGAACCCAGAGUGUACCGAGUAGAGACAGUGUCUUCGUCCUCAUGUCCAACCAAGCGUUCUGUUCCCUUCUGUGCAGAGUAGUGUGCUGCUUUGUAUGUAAGGAAAAUGCAGGGCCUCACACA
rnacentral:lncRNA from 1 species